ensembl:snRNA U6 U6 spliceosomal RNA
UACUUUAAGAUAUUAGUACUUGCUUCAAAUUGGAAUGAUUUAAAGAAGGUUAGCAUGGCCCCAACACAAGAAUGACACAACAGGCUCAUGUUACCACUAUAUAUAUUUUU